rnacentral:rRNA from 1 species
GGUGAAUGCUGGCGGCGUGGAUAAGUCAUGCAAGUCAAGGGGGCCCGCAAGGGCAACCGGCAAACGAGGUAGUAACACGUAGGUAGACCCCCCCAGAGUCGGGCAUAGCCAGCCGAAAGGUUGGGUAAUUCCCGAUAGUCCCGAAAGAGUAAAGGUUUUUCGCUCUGGGAGUUGCCUGCGUAGUAUCAGCUAGUUGGUAGGGUAAUGGCCUACCAAGGCUACGACGCUUAGGGGAGCUGAGAGGCUGACCCCCACCGAUGGAACUGCGACACGGUCCAUACUCCUACGGGAGGCUGCAGACGAGAAUAUUCCGCAAUGGGCGAAAGCCUGACGGAGCGACGCCGCGUGAUUGAUGAAGUGCUUCGGUACGUAAAGAUCUUUUAUCGGGGACGAAGUUUAUUGACGGUACCCGAUGAAUAAGGGGCUCCUAACUCUGUGCCAGCAGCCGCGGUAAU